rnacentral:rRNA from 1 species
UACAGAGGGUGCAAGCGUUGUUCGGAAUCACUGGGCUUAAAGGGCGCGUAGGCGGCCUGCCAAGUCAGGGGUGAAAGCCCCCAGCUCAACUGGGGAAGUGCCUUUGAUACUGGCGGGCUCGAGCGAGGCAGGGGUCGUGGGAACUUCCGGUGGAGCGGUGAAAUGCGUUGAUAUCGGAAGGAACGCCGGUGGCGAAAGCGCACGACUGGUCCUCUUCUGACGCUGAGGCGCGAAAGCCAGGGGAGCAAACGGG